AUACACAUGCUCACAAACAAAAUACACACUAUAUCAUCUAUAUACUAAUUGUUCCACAAACAAAAAUAAUUAUCAUAAAAAAAUGCCAAGAAAAGGAGACAUGUUAAUUUAAUAUUUUUUAUGUGUCCCGAUUAUUUCUUCGAUGAUGACUAUUUACACCCUACGGUUUACUAAGCGUACACCAAUUUCUUGUGAAAAUGCCCAAUCUUAGCACAUCACAGUGUCCUGUACUAUUCAUCUUCGUCUUCCCCUCAAUCUCCAUGCUCACAGUCACAACCAUCUCCAAUCCCUAACCCUGACCACCUCCAUACGUAUCAUCAAAUUCCAAGAAAUUCAUCAUUAUCCAUCAAAAUCGGAACCAACACAACAAAGGUACUCAAAUCUCUAUAACCACAUAAGAUUAUAGCCAUACAAUGGCUUCCCCUAACACCGGGUUUAGUAUUUCUCGGUUCAAGGGCAAUGAAGGAGUGGAUUUGUCGUUUGCGUAGACUCGACAACGGAGGAGUAGAUAUGCCAUCUAGGAUUUUCAAGACUUGAUUUGGUGACAACUGACAACCAUCUUUGUGGGUGAGUUUGUAGUGCAGAUGUUUGAGUGAGGAAUGGAGUGAAUUGAGGAGUGGAUAUGCCAUCUUUGGUGUUGCUGCUCCCGAAGUUCAUGUGGCAAGAAGAAGAAACCCUAGGUUCUCAACUAGAGUGUUAGUUGGAGGCAAUCGCUCAAUUUUUUUGUUUGGAACAAGAGUGCUGCUGCUGUGUGAAUAUCCCUUAGAGAUGGAAAACGAUCGGCCGAUUCAAAAUACAUGACAUGCUGGAAUCUUGUUUUGCUGAAAACCAAGAGGAAUCACCUGAUAAUUUUUCAUGCAGUUCAGAAGAUGAGCAUGCCAGGAGAGCAAAUGGAGAGAAAAAUAUGUGGAGUUCAGAGAAAAAAAAUCCGCACGAGAAGAACAAACAUUUUGGAAGUGCCAAAAUGCAUUUUUGCCACCAUAGUUCCUGAAAAUCUCAAGCUUGUAUAUUAGUUCAAAACUCCUGAACAACCAUGAAACAGUUGAAGGUAAACUAGUGGCAAGCUUUGUAAGGGUCAAAUCUGAUCCAAAUGAUUAUUAUCAGAAAAACUCUCGCUAGCUCCUGCAAGUUACAGGGUUAAAGAAGACCGCUCAAAUCAAUAGCAUGAGCACAGGGAUCAAUAGCAUGAGCUCAGAAAUCACUCUUCAAGUCUCAAAUUAUGUAAAAGACAUUUGCAUUUCCAAUUUUCCAUACUCUCAGACGAUAACUUCUCUCAGGAUCUAUAUUCUAUAUGCUUCUGCUCAAGUAGAGCGAAAGCUGUCAACAGAGAGCUUAAGUGAGAGCAAUGACAGUGUAGAGCCUCCGAAUCAACUACCAGAAAGCAAAAGCCAGAUGGACAAUAAGGUACAACCUGCAGAUAAAUAGGGCUGUGAUUGACUUGAGCGACGAUGACGAAAAUAAAGACCCGCAUUGCAAUGGCCAGAACCUUGAGGAAGACAUGACAAGCGAGAUAUGGCGCUAUGUGGAUCCUCAAGGCGAUAUACAGGGCCACUUUGCACUUUUUCACUAAGACAUUGGAGUGAAGCUAACUGCUUUCCUCCAGAUUUCAAGGUCUGGAAGAGUGGUCAGGCCCAAGACAAUUAGACAAAGCUGUACUGUUGAGAGACAUUAUUAAUACUCUGCUUGCUUUGAUCAAAGCUAAUGGAGUUUGGUCUUUGUAGAAUUUAUAUGAAAUCCUUGGAUAUGUCUUGGAUAUUUUGUUCCAACUUUACCAAAAAAAUAAAGUUAUUUGAUGGUCACCAUAACAA